GCCGCGCCUCACGGGGCGGGGAGGCGGGCUCGUGUGGUAGGGCCGAGCCUGGGCACGGCUCGGCGUGGGGGUUAAAAACAGCACCUGUCCUCUCAACAGAGCCCAAAGGGUGCGCAGCCCCCUCCCCACACGCACCAGCGGGACAUCAGCACGGCUCGUUUCCAAAACGACGGCACCCUGCCUGCAGCCCACACGUCCCUCUUGCUCCUGCCUUCCCCCAGCAAAUAAACCAUGCCCACGGAGAUCGGAGCUGAACGGCUCACCUGCAGGGAUGAGCAAGGGCUCGCCAGGACUGGGCUUGCUGCAGCACACACAGGAGGAAAAGCCUAUUUUUGCCAGCACUAAUCCCAGCAGCAUUUCAUCUAGCUUUGCAUUUUAAGGGGCGGCUUGGUGAGUUUUGGAGGCCCUUUUGGAAAUCUUUGCUGUCCCCUUCAGCAAGACAGGACUCUCAGUGGCCUCCAUGACCUGGAGUUAGUAAGUAAAACACCAGAUAUUGGCAGUGAUGCUGCAAGAGUGUGAAAGAUAGGAAACACAGACUUCUUUCUUGCAGCCCGUGAGGAAACUGCUGAGUGAAGUCAUAGCAGUGCCAGUUCUGUAGUACUACAAGCUAUUUUUCAUAGCAAGAGGUUCCCAGUCUUUAAGCAAAGUUUUGCUUUGGGAGGACCAUGGAGAAGCCAUGGGUUGCCCCAAGGCUGCUGCAAGCUGUGCCACAAACAGAACCAACGACAGAAGGAUGCUUCCCAUAUGCCUUUAUUUGGAAAGUUACAGGAGUUUUUUUUACAGGCACUGUGCAUUGGUGUUUCAGACCAGUUUAGAUUUUUCUCCAUGUUACCCAAUGACUGAAAGGGAAGGUGGGAGCUGGGAAAAUACCUCACAGCAACUGUUCCAGCCUCCAGAAAGGCAUAAGACAGCUGGGAGAAACAGUCUGCUUCUUCUGAAGCCACAAAGUGAGGAAUCUAUUUUAUAAAGUCUUAAAAAAUAAUAUAUAUAUAUAUAUAUAUAUAAGAGCACAAAGCUAAAGUACAGCAAUAACUGGUACAUAUCUAGGCAUAUCGCUUCAAACCUUUUCUCCAAAGAUGGAAAAGGGAUGGUUUAAAAACUAAAAACACAGUUUAAAAAAAAGGGGGGGGGAUUCCAUGCAUUAAGUUUUAGUGUUCUGUGCAAUUAAAAUGGGAUGAAAAUAAA